CCUACGGGAGGCAGCAGUGGGGAAUAUUGCGCAAUGGGCGAAAGCCUGACGCAGCGACGCCGCGUGAGGGCUGCAGGUCUUCGGAUCGUAAACCUCUGUCAGCAGGGAAGAACGGUCACUGUGCUACCCAGCAGUGAAUUUACGGUCCCUGCAAAGGAAGCACCGGCUACCUCCGUGCCAGCAGCCGCGGUAAUACGGAGGGUGCGCGCGUUAAUCGGACUUGCUGGGCGUAAGGCGCUCGUAGGAGGUAUGUCAAGUCAAGGGUGAAAUCCCCGCGCUCAACGUGGGAACUGCCUUUGAAACGGGCAAACUUGAGUGUGUGAGAGGAUAGGGGAAUUCCAGGUGUAGGAGUGAAAUCCGUAGAUAUCUGGAGGAACAUCAGUGGCGAAGGCGACUAUCUGGCACAUAACUGACGCUGAGGAGCGAAAGCGUGGGUAGCAAACAGGAUUAGAUACCCCUGUAGUC
rnacentral:rRNA from 1 species